GAUGAACGCUAGCGGCAAGCUUAAUACAUGCAAGUCGAGGGGCAGCAUGACUGUAGCAAUACAGUUGAUGGCGACCGGCAAACGGGUGCGGAACACGUACAGAACCUUCCUUCGAGCGGGGAAUAGCCCAGAGAAAUUUGGAUUAAUACCCCAUAGUAUUACGGAGUGGCAUCACUUUGUAAUUAAAGAUUUAUCACUUGAAGAUGGCUGUGCGGCUGAUUAGAUAGUUGGCAGGGUAACGGACUACCAAGUCUACGAUCAGUAACUGGUGUGAGAGCACGACCAGUCACACGGGCACUGAGAAACGGGCCCGACUCCUACGGGAGGCAGCAGUAAGGAAUAUUGGUCAAUGGACGAAAGUCUGAACCAGCUAUGCCGCGUGGAGGAUGAAGGCCCUCUGGGUUGUAAACUUCUUUUAUAUGGGACGAAAAAGGGCCUUUCUAGGUCAACUGACGGUACCAUGUGAAUAAGCACCGGCUAACUCCGUGCCAGCCGCCGCGGUAAUAC
rnacentral:rRNA from 1 species